UUACCAAAAAUAUCCCUUUGCGUAAAUGUAAAAUUCCCCAGGCGGAACUAGAAUGAAGUCAUGCACAGAUCGACAUAACGGCGUCGUUUCUAUGACACCUUGAUCUUUUCUGCGCCAGUGCCAAGUGGAGCGUCUAUAUUUACCAGAGACACGCGAGCACGCGCGCGCCGUAGCAAGUUUCUGCACGCUAGUGGAUAAUGUUGGUGGAUUAAAUAAACCGUCGCAUUAAAUAGCAUCGUUGCAUUUCGCUCUUUCGUGGCACGAGGACUGUCCGGCAAAUAGGUCGACCACGGGCAUUCAAUCUUGGAAGAACGAAUUGGAUAGAAUUGGUACCGUAUCGUCAACAAUUUUUCUUUCGGUCAACGGACACCCAUUUUAUAUUUAGAACGGGUAUGGUCGCACGGUAACUUUUCGUUACGCCGGUUGUUUUGUCUGAAAUUCGCGUGACGCAAGCGCAUUAUUCGCGCGUGUUUCUGCCAUUCCUGCAUCGACUGAGCGAUAACUCGAUAAUAUCGUUAUGACUUCGCUGUUACCGAGAUAUUACUGGAAGAUUGAUCGAUAAAAAGAGAAAUUUACGGUGCAUUUCAAUGCAGGACAUUUCUUUAUAAUGCGAUGAAAAAUGUACUGUUCCCAUAUAACAUGUUAAAUUAGAUAUGUUUUUCUCUUAAACGUAAACGUUUAUCGAUAUGGAAAAUUAAUGCUGAAAUAUACAGCUGUCUCUUACUGAUGAUUUACUGCCAUGUCUGGAUCAGAAAUAUAACAUUGGUACGUCAUAUCGAUUAUUCUGUUUUAAAAUUUAAUCUCGUAUGUAGAAUAAUAUUUUUAUUUAUCAAUUUAACGAGCAAUUGUAUAUUAUAUAUUAUAUUAAAAAUAUUACACAAAUAUAGUACGCAUUGCAAAAAAAAAAAAUAAAUUUUAAAAAAUAAGUAUUAAAUGUUCACAUGAAUUUAAAUUAAAUUAUGCUCGUUGCAUUGUAAUUCUGUCAUAUUCACGUACACAAAAUUUUACUUUGUUGUAUACCGGAUUGUAUCAUUACCAUCUGAAACGACAGAAUUCUCUUGCAAACAUGUUUUACUUUGUUUGUUUCAAAGCGGACAAACAUCUACACAAAUAGAAUUUCGACCAGCAAAAGGAUGACGUGUAGUAAGAGAGGUUAUAGCUAGGGAUUGUUCACCCCAUAGUUUUGACCGCUAUAGAGCUUAUGAUGGUGUUGCAACGCCAGACAUCUAAGGGAAUCAGAGUUGUUAUUGGAAACGUUGUCACGGGGAUGCUGUCCCUCGUGUGAUCAAAAUUCUAUUUGAGAUGUUUCUGGGGAUGUCUCCGAGGUCAUCACGAGUCUCGUCAAUUUUGCUUUGAUGUUACGGUUGUUAGAAAUUUGCAUUAAACUAGUUAAUUAUUAAAUCAAACUUGACUAAUUAAAUUCACGUCAUAUUUGAUUUAUACAUGAUACCAACGAACAAAAUAGGAUAUAAGAUGUGUCAUAUUCUGUUAGACAUAACUUUGUAUAAGGUAAUUUCCAUUUUUAAAUUUAUUAUCGUGAAAAUAACUCUCAUUUUUGCAGCAUGUCAAUAACUUUAUCUAAUUUAAUUUAAUAAUAACCCAAGCCAAAUAAAUUUUAAAUAUAACGCAUAACUUUUGAACAAUAAUAAUUGGAAAGCUCAUAAUUUCUCGUUCAACAAGGAAGAUAAAUUCGAGAAGAUAAAUUAAUUGUCGUGGAAGAAUACAAGAGUUUCGAUGAAAGAAGUCGGUAAAGUGAGAGAGAGGGGCGAGAGAGUGGGAAAGGAAGAAGGGAAGAAUAGAAAUUGAUCGAGGAUGCUCCGUGCACUUCCAUCCUCCGCACUCCUCGCUCGAGGGCUUUUUAUUACAAGCUCUAUUGUAAAAAAAAACCACGGCCAGUCGUAAUAAAUAUUUUACGUUCUCGCAAUCGUUUUACUGCAUUGGGAUAUCCUGAACGUGAACCACCCGCGGGAUUUCGGCCUUCUUUUGCCUUCCAAUCGCGCAUCCCUUUCGAAGAAUGAGCGCCUAUAAUCGACAAUCUUCGUGUCGCCCUCAAAUAGAUAUUUUCGAGGAACUUUCUGGUCGUCCAAAAAAAAAAAUUGCAAGACGUCAUUCGGUUUGCUAACAUUUAAAUUUAGAAUUCAGGUUUUCGUGGCCGUAAAUAAAUAAAGAUUCGUAUUUUUUUAUACCGGUCUUCAUAAAUCUCGCAAAUUGUCGAAGCAUUUGUGUCGCCAUUUCUGCGUCAUCUUGCACAUAAAAAUAAACCGUCGAACGCGUACGUUAGCACGAAAGAUCGUGAAAAAUUUAACUUUCCUUUACUCUCGAGAGUCGUUCAAGUUAGAAUGUUGCAACCGAUCUCUGGUAUCGAUUGGAUUUAAGAAUUCAAUCGUUAAAUUUAAACAGUUAAGUAAGUAAAUCUCCUUGGAAACUUUAGAGAGACCAUUUCUUUUUCAUUCAAAAUAAAUGUAAUAACACGAACGUGAGAUCAUUUCGCUAAAUUGUACCUAUAGAAAGAAUAUAUUAAAAAUAAAGUAUAAAAUUUUAUAAUUUUAUACUUCAAUAAUACGAUCAUUGCUUCGUGAAUAUAUUAUAGCAAGAGAAUACGUUCUGACUGCAACAUAAAUAUAUAUAUAUAUAUUUCAAUGAAAAAAAGCUAUAUUAUAUACAUUUAACACAUCCUGUAUAGAUAGAAAAUCCACAUCAUUUGUAAAAUAAAAUACCACUUCUACUUCGUUAAAGAAAUUAUAGCGAAGAAUUUCUUCAAUUCGGAUUUUUUAAAUUUUUCCCAUUUUUUACUUAGAAUAAUUUCCAUCGAAAUUAAACGUGCGUGUGUCCAUGACGAAGUUAAUAAAUCGAGAAAUCGAGCACGAAGGUUUUUAUCGUCGGACGAGUCCAUUUUCUUUCUUGCGCGUGAACAUUUUCUGUGGCGCUGUUCGCGUCGAUCGAGGCGAGAAGUAUGCGUGUACAAGAGUGUCGACUCGAUGCCAACUAACGGGAUCUGUAGUGAUCAAGUGGGUCAGACGAACUCGAUCCCGACUCCAGUCCCUUCGUCGAUCAGCCAUCUCGUCACGCGGAUAUUUCAAGGUAAAAGAAAAUUGUUUCGUUCCCGUGUAAACCGUACGCGUGAAAAUAUCAUUGUCAACGUUCUUUUCGAAAAAUGUUCGUAUCGUAAUAAAAUUCGAUAUUUUUCUGGUGACAAAGUUUGAAAUUGAUAUAACGUGUGAAUUUUUUGUCUCGGGUGAUAGAGCGUCUGGAUAUCGUUAUUUUGAAGGUACUUGUCAAUUAUUAGAAGAUUAUCGAGAGAUGUCAGGUAAUUACAUCAUCGCGAGCGGCUGAUUCCUUAAUUGCAGACGAAGGAAGGAAGGAAGGAAGGAACGAACCGUGAAUCUUCGAAGAAAAUUAAUCUUGACGAAACUGAAAUUGGGAAAACACUGCAUAAAUUUUUUGCGCCUCUUAUUUUUCUUCUUCUUCUUCUUCCUCCUUGGAGAAAAAUUUAUCAAAGAAACAAAUAAGUCGUAAUAUCGAAUAAUAAUAAUAAUCAACUUUGCAGAGCUGGAACAAUCUUGGGACAAA